UGACCUCAGAUCAGUCGAGAUGCUAAUCAAA
rnacentral:rRNA from 1 species